UUUCAGUAAAAAGAGGGCUCAGACAUGGCGACAAGAAUGAAGGUGGAGGGAAAGGAGUGGAGAGAAAGUAUUCUGGAGGUUGAUUUGAAUCCCCGGGUAUGUGGUUAUGCAUGAGCUGUGGAAGCAAAGGUGUGUGUCGGCUGGUUAUGCAUGAGCUGUGGAAGCAAAGGUGUGUGUCGGCUGGAGCUGAUUUACGGGGCUGUCAUUUGGAUGGUACCAAACUGUAAUAAUACAGACUCCCACUCAAAAUUUCACUGCACCAAAGGCUCUCGUCAGGAUGGCAAACCUAGGGAGUUCAGGCACCAUGAAACAUAACUUCCUUUGCCAUCGGAGAGAAAGAAGACGGUAGGCGCGCUCAGGAGAUGACGCAGCAACAACCGUCGAGCGGAGGUUGUGUUUGGAGGCGACCAGCAGAGGCUGCAGCUCCCACAGCUCGCGUGCGAACGAUGUGGCCGGACGACGAUUGAAGCGGCGUUUCUGUUUUGGCGGCGUGCUUUCGCGUGUGGAUGGAGCUCGUACGCCAGGAAGAACUGGCGUCUUGAUGGAGCUCGUACGCCAGGAAGAACUGGCGUUUUCGUUGGCGGGUCGAAGAAGUUUGAUUUUUGGUCGAUGGACCUCGUCCUCGUUCGUGGGUUGCGGAGCUGUUUUUUUGUUGACUGGGCGCGAUCGUGGGGUUCCAUGGACUUAUCGUUCGUGUGUUGAACUGUGGAUCUCGUACGUGGGCUGAGUUGUUGUAUUUUUUUUUGCGGGCGCUGAGUUGGUGUUUUUUCGUACGUGGGCUAUGUUGGUGGGCUGCUGCGUGCGUGUGGGAGUUCGAAGGGAGGGGGAUCGAACGAGGUCGAACCAUCACGACGUUCGAUCCCCCUUUAAUAGU